UCCCAAUUAGCUCAGUGGUUAGAGCGUCUGUCUUGUAAAACCCGAAGGUCCCCGGUUCGAUUCCGGGCAUCCGCUA